UUCAGCAACGGAUCUCUUGGCUCUCGCAUCGAUGAAGAACGCAGCGAAAUGCGAUAAGUAAUGUGAAUUGCAGAAUUCAGUGAAUCAUCGAAUCUUUGAACGCACCUUGCGCUCCUUGGUAUUCCGAGGAGCAUGCCUGUUUGAGUGUCAUUAAUAU
rnacentral:rRNA from 5 species